rnacentral:rRNA from 1 species
GACGAACGCUGGCGGCGUGCUUAACACAUGCAAGUCGAGCGGUAAGGCCCUUUCGGGGCUACACGAGCGGCGAACGGGUGAGUAACACGUGGGUGACCUGCCCUCAGCUCUGGGAUAAGCCUGGGAAACCGGGUCUAAUACCGGAUAUGACUCCAUGACGCAUGUUGUGGGGUGGAAAGCCUUGUGCGGCUGAGGAUGGGCCCGCGGCCUAUCAGCUUGUUGGUGGGGUGANGGCCUACCAAGGCGACGACGGGUAGCCGGCCUGAGAGGGCGACCGGCCACACUGGGACUGAGACACGGCCCAGACUCCUACGGGAGGCAGCAGUGGGGAAUCUUGCGCAAUGGGCGAAAGCCUGACGCAGCGACGCCGCGUGAGGGA